UAAAUACUCCCUCCGUCCGGAAAUACUUGUCGAAGGAAUGGAUGUAUCUAGACGUAUUUUAGUUCUAGAUACAUCCAUUUUUAUGCAUUUCUCCGACAAGUAUUUCCGGACGGAGGGAGUAUAAG
rnacentral:pre_miRNA from 1 species